GAUGAACGCUAGCGGCAGGCCUAAUACAUGCAAGUCGAGGGGUAUGGGUUGCUUGCAACCCAGAGACCGGCGCACGGGUGCGUAACGCGUAUGCAAUCUACCUUAAUCAGGGGGAUAGCCCGGAGAAAUCCGGAUUAACACCGCAUAACAUUGAGUUGUGGCAUCACAGUUCACUCAAAUAUUUAUAGGAUUAAGAUGAGCAUGCGUGACAUUAGUUAGUUGGUGAGGUAACGGCUCACCAAGACCACGAUGUCUAGGGGAUCUGAGAGGAUGACCCCCCACACUGGUACUGAGACACGGACCAGACUCCUACGGGAGGCAGCAGUAAGGAAUAUUGGUCAAUGGGCGCAAGCCUGAGCCAGCCAUGCCGCGUGCAGGAAGACGGCCCUAUGGGUUGUAAACUGCUUUUGUACCGGAAUAAACCUUCUCUUGCGAGAGAAGCUGAACGUACGGUAAGAAUAAGGAUCGGCUAACUCCGUG
rnacentral:rRNA from 1 species